UGUAAGCGUAUACCAAAGUUGUUGCAGUUAAAACGCUCGUAGUCGGAAUUUGGCAGUUCCGGAUGUGUGCACGUCGUGUGCGCACUUCGCGGGGAUUGCUUUUGGGGUCUUGCGUAGGAUGAGGCACUUUUAUUAGUGAACGUCCUCACGCAACCACUUUUUACUGUGAGAAAAUCAGAGUGCUCAAAGCAGGCAUUUGCCGUGAAUGUAUUAGCAUGGAAUAAUAGAAUAGGACUUGGUUCUAUUUUGUUGGUUUGUUGGGACUGAGUAAUGAUUAAGAGGGACAGUUGGGGGCAUUUGUAUUUCGGUGCUAGAGGUGAAAUUCUUAGAUUACCGAAAGACAAACUGCUGCGAAAGCGUCUGCCAAGGAUGUUUUCAUUGA
rnacentral:rRNA from 1 species